CCUACGGGAGGCAGCAGUAGGGAAUAUUGCUCAAUGGCGGAAGCCCUGAAGCAGCAACGCCGCGUGGAGGAUGAAGGUUUUCGGAUUGUAAACUCCUUUUGUUAGAGAAGAUAAUGACGGUAUCUAACGAAUAAGCACAGGCUAACUCCAGGCCACCAGCCGCGGUAAUAAGGAGGGAGCAAACGUUACUCGGAAUCUAGGGGCGUAAAGAGCGUGGAGGCGGGAUAGCAAGUCAGAUGUGAAAUCCUAUGGCUUAACCAUAGAAGUGCAUUUGAAACUGUUAUUCUAGAGUAUGGGAGAGGUAGGUGGAAUGCUUGGUGUAGGGGUAAAAUCCGUAGAGAUCAAGAGGAAUACUCAUUGCGAAGGCGACCUGCUAGAACAUAACUGACGCUGAUGCGCGAAAGCGUGGGGAGCAAACAGGAUUAGAUACCCUAGUAGUC
rnacentral:rRNA from 1 species